AUUGAACGCUGGCGGCAGGCCUAACACAUGCAAGUCGAGCGGAAGAAGGCAGCUUGUUUCUGGUUUCCGCGGCGGACGGGGGAGAGUAACCUAUGAAUAUCCCUGGCUGUGGUGUAGAACGUCCGCAAACGGCCGCUAAUACUGCAUAAGUGCUGCGGCAGAUGGAGGGGGAGCUUUGGACCGUAUGCUCUCAGAUGAGUCUAGGCCGGGUUAGUCAGCUGGUGGGGUAAAGGCCUACUUAGGCGACGUUCCGUAACUGGUCUGAGAGGAUGAUCAGCCACACUGGAACUGAGACACGGUCCAGACUCCUACGGUAGGCAGCAGUGGGGAAUAUUGGACAAUGGGCGAAAGCCUGAUCCAGCCAUGCCGCGUGUGUGAAGAAGGUCUUCGGAUUGUAAAGCACUUUUAGUGGGUAGGAAGGGCAGUAAGUUAAUACCUUGCUGUAUUGACGGUACCAACAGAAGAAGCACCGGCUAACUACGUG
rnacentral:rRNA from 1 species